rnacentral:tRNA from 1 species
UCCCUGGUGGCUCAGAUGGUAAAGAAUCUGCCUGCAAUGCGGGAGUCCCAGGUUCGACCCCUGGGUGGGGAA